rnacentral:ncRNA from 1 species
GCGGUGACGCAGGGUCGGAAAGAAGCCGGCGGCACAACUCUGGCCUGACGGACAGAAACCCGAUACAAGGCCGACAGACAUGAGGCAAGUCUGCAUAAUAAGACGAAACCCGAUAUCCAUUCGGAAAGUCUGUAGGUAAAUCGGGCAGGCAUAAGAGCGAAAGAG